rnacentral:lncRNA from 1 species
GACGCUGUGAAGACACUGGGAGAAGACAGCCAUCUACAAGCUAGAGAGAGGCUCGGAAGAAAGCAAACCUGCCGUCACCUUGACCUCAGCCUUCCAGACUCCAAAACGGAAAUGUGAGGCAAUCCAUGACCCAAGAUCAGGGUCAGAGCAAACCUGUAUACCUUCCCUUCGGAAGAAAGAAAAAGAUGGCAGAAGAAGUAAACAUAGACCUCCUUUUCUUCCCUGAAGCUCAGUUCAAAUGUCACUUGUUGGAAAAUGUCUUCAGAUUUAUACCCAUCUUCACUCCCAAAGCUGGAAGGAUAGGAACAUAGUGAGAGGUGUUAAGACCAGGGCUCUGGGUUCAGGCUGCCCAAGCUCAAAUCCUUUGCGUCCGACCAGCGGUGUGACUUUAAGCAAUUUGCCUAGCUUCUCCAGGCCUCAGCAUCUCUUCUGUUUAAAAAGAAGUAAUUACAGCAGCAACCUCAUGGAAGUCUUGAAAGAAUUACAUGAGAGAACGUUAGGUACAAAGACCUCUGUCUCUCUCUCUCUCCCUCUGAUGUUCAGUGUGUGCUGGGUGUCGGUGACCUUCUGCAG